CCACCAUCGAUCUGUCUUCUUGUAUUUCUUGUUUUAGAGGGGAAAAAAUGAGGACAGCCCAUUACUCUCUUCUGCUUUGUUUUGCCUUCAUUUUUGUUGUUCUAUCAAAAGCUGAUCAUCCAAGCAAUCGGGUUCAACCUCAUGCUCUUGAUCAGUCUUUCAGUCCCGGUUUAAUCCAGCAGACUGUAGGGAGCUGUGCUUACACUGUGAUCAUUUCGACAAGCUGUUUAUCACCCAAAUAUACAAC